GACGAACGCUGGCGGCGUGCUUAACACAUGCAAGUCGAACGGAAAGGCCCCUUUGGGGGUACUCGAGUGGCGAACGGGUGAGUAACACGUGAGUAACCUGCCCUUGACUUCGGUAUAACUUCAGGAAACUGGGGCUAAUACCGGAUAGGAAUCCUUGCUGCAUGGUGGGGGUUGGAAAGCUUCGGCGGUUUUGGAUGGACUCGCGGCUUAUCAGCUUGUUGGUGGGGUAGUGGCUUACCAAGGCUUUGACGGGUAGCCGGCCUGAGAGGGCGACCGGCCACAUUGGGACUGAGAUACGGCCCAGACUCCUACGGGAGGCAGCAGUGGGGAAUAUUGCACAAUGGGCGGAAGCCUGAUGCAGCAACGCCGCGUGCGGGAUGACGGCCUUCGGGUUGUAAACCGCUUUCAGCAGGGGAGAAGCUUGUGGUGACGGUACCUGCAGAAGAAGCACCGGCUAACUACGUG
rnacentral:rRNA from 1 species